GACGAACCGUGCGAACGUUGUUCGGAAUCACUGGGCUUAAAGGGCGCGUAGGCGGGCCACCCAGUCCGGGGUGAAAUCUUUCGGCUCAACCGGAAAAGGGCCUUGGAUACUGGUGGUCUGGAGGAAGGUAGGGGCAUGCGGAACUUCCGGUGGAGCGGUGAAAUGCGUUGAUAUCGGAAGGAACGCCGGUGGCGAAAGCAGCGCGCUGGACCUCUACUGACGCUGAGGCGCGAAAGCCAGGGGAGCAAACGGG
rnacentral:rRNA from 1 species